AAAGGCGAAAAGAACCCCGGUGAGGGGAGUGAAAUAGAACCUGAAACCAGGUGCGUACAAGCAGUAGGAGCCCUUCGGGGUGACUGCGUACCUUUUGUAUAAUGGGUCAGCGACUUAUAUUUUGUAGCGAGCUUAACCGACUAGGGGAGGCGAAGGGAAACCGAGUGUUAACUGCGCGAAUAGUUGCAAGGUAUAGACCCGAAACCCGGUGAUCUAUCCAUGGCCAGGAUGAAGGUGAGGUAACACUUACUGGAGGUCCGAACCCACGUAUGUUGAAAAAUGCGGGGAUGACGUGUGGCUAGGGGUGAAAGGCCAAUCAAACCGGGAGAUAGCUGGUUCUCCCCGAAAUCUAUUUAGGUAGAGCCUCGGACGAAUUCCAUUGGGGGUAGAGCACUGUUAAGGCUAGGGGGUCAUCCCGACUUACCAACCCGAUGCAAACUCCGAAUACCUGUGAGUACUAUCCGGGAGACACACGGCGGGUGCUAACGUCCGUCGUGGAGAGGGAAACAACCCAGACCGCCAGCUAAGGUCCCCAAGUACCAGUUAAGUGGGAAACGAUGUGGGAAGGCUCAGACAGCUAGGAGGUUGGCUUAGAAGCAGCCAUCCUUUAAAGAAAGCGUAAUAGCUCACUGGUCGAGUCGGCCCGCGCGGAAGAUGUAACGGGGCUAAGCGAUAUACCGAAGCUGCGGAUGCAUGUUUACAUGCAUGGUAGGGGAGCGUUCUGUACGUCUGUGAAGGUGAGUCGUAAGGCUUGCUGGAGAUAUCAGAAGUGCGAAUGCUGACAUGAGUAACGAUAAAG
rnacentral:rRNA from 1 species